GAUGAAGAACGCAGCGAAAUGCGAUAAGUAAUGCGAAUUGCAGAAUUCAGUGAGUCAUCGAAUCUUUGAACGCACAUUGCGCCCUGUGGUAUUCCGCAGGGCAUGCAUGUUCGAGCGUCAUUUCAACCCUCAAGCUCUGCUUGGUGUUGGGCCCUGCCCGCUGCGGCCGGCCCUAAAGACAGUGGCGGUGCCGCCUGGCCCUGAGCGUAGUACAUCUCUCGCUCCAGUGCCCGGUGGUAGCCUGCCAGAACCCCAACUCUCGUGGUUGACCUCGGAUCAGGUAGGGAUACCCGCUGAACUUAAGCAUAUCAAUAAGCGGAGGA
rnacentral:misc_RNA from 1 species